rnacentral:lncRNA from 1 species
GGCAAGAGAGGAGGAGAGAGGACAGAAGAGGAGGAAGAACCACAUGGCCAGGAGAAACAGUACUGUUCACCAAGAGACCGUCACCACAUGCCUGCUUGCCUAAGUGGCGCGGGAUGAGCUGGCAAAUGUCCAACGUGCCAAGUAAUUUUUAUACAACUAUGAAGCAGUUGUAUCUGUUGGAAAAAGGAAAAGUUGGGCAGUCACAGCUUUAUUAAACAGAGACCAUCCAUUUGCCCAAA